UACGGAGGGUGCAAGCGUUAUCCGGAUUCACUGUGUUUAAAGGGUGCGUAGGCGGGCAGGUAAGUCCGUGGUGAAAUCUCUGAGCCUAACUCAGAAACUGCCAUGGAUACUAUUUGUCUUGAAUACUGUGGAGGUAAGCGGAAUAUGUCAUGUAGCGGUGAAAUGCUUAGAUAUGACAUGGAACACCAAUUGCGAAGGCAGCUUACUACACAAAUAUUGACGCUGAGGCACGAAAGCGUGGGGAUCAAACAGG
rnacentral:rRNA from 1 species